UUAGGUAGGAGGGUGCUCAAGACACCCAAAGUAUUCUGGAAGCAAGCACCCUCUGCGGCCCUGUGCUUUGUCAGAGCAGCUGGGCUAGCAGUCAGGAGGUCAGCGAAAGGCACUGAAGAUUCUGUUAUCCAAUUUUAACCAAGUGGAAGUAUCAGAAUGGAAAAGUGGCUUACAGGGAUUUCUGCAGAGAAGACAAUACUAGCAAUACAAGUGUAAGCAACAACAGGAAAUUGAUGGAGUUGACACAUUUCCUACUGUAUUCUUAGCCUAAUGGAAGAGGUUAACAACAGUGAUGAUCUAUCUAAUUCAGACUUACAAGAAAUCAGCUCCUCCCUUCCAUUGAGAUAUAGGCUUACAUUUACUUUUAUUAAUGAUGAACCUUGCCUUGAAUAUAUUUAUUGUAUUUUGAGAUGUAGGCCAAUGCCAAUGAUAAUAUGAAGCAUUGUGGCAAGCAAAAUAUUAAUAAAUAUAUGUUUCAUCAUUAAAUGAUUUUUCAAAUUAA